rnacentral:rRNA from 1 species
UACAGGAGGGGCAAGCGUUGUUCGGAAUUACUGGGCGUAAAGGCGCGUAGGCGGCCAACUAAGUCAGACGUGAAUCCCGGUUGGACUCCAACCAGGAACUGCGUCUGAUACUGGAUGCUUGAGUUCGGGAGAGGGAAGUGGAAUUCCAGGUGUAGCGGUGAAAUGCGUAGAUAUCUGGAGGAACACCGGUGGCGAAGGCGGCUCCUGGACCGAUACUGACGCUGAGGAGCGAAAGCCAGGG